rnacentral:rRNA from 1 species
GUAGCGCGGUGGUCCCACCUGACCCCAUGCCGAACUCAGAAGUGAAACGCCGUAGUGCCGAUGGUAGUGUGGGGUCUCCCCAUGCGAGAGUAGGGAACUGCCAGGC